GUAUCAAACACCGGAGGAAAAAUUAACAAAAAUAAGUUGCAACUUAGUAAGAAAAAGAAAUUGCUGAAAAAAACUGCUGAUUCUUCUGACCGAUCUUUGAAAACUGUAAAUUCUGGAGACUUUUCAAAGCCUAGCACUUCGAAACUUGGUAAAUUAAAACCCAAAGAGCGGAAAGGCUCGCAGGAAAAAUCAACUGAUCCACCAAAGAAGGCCAAAAGAUCUAUUUCUGAAACGGGUAAUUCAUCUACCCAUUUGAAGCAACAUUCAAUAGAUAAAAUUCUUAAGAAUGGAAAAAAGUCAACUCCACCGACUGAAAUUCGUCGCUCACGGGAAAAACCAGCUCAAAGUCAGAAGGAUUUAAAGGGGCACAAUUCUGCGUCUGGUAAUUUAUAUGCACGUCAAUAUGAAA